UCUCUCUGCUCCUUUCCUCGCCGUCGCCCUCUCUCUGCCAGGCUCUCCUGUUCGUCCUCCAGGGGCCCACGCUAGCCCCUCACCUCCCCUGAAGCCUUUUCUAACCGCUGCGGCCUCCGUGGUCCCCCACGCCUGUGUUCCUGUAGGACGUUUACAGUUCACACGAUGUCUCAUCUCUCGGUAUAUGUCUCCCAGAAACGAAAAUGGACGGCCAUAUGUCACAAGAGAAUGAAAUCUUUGCUCCCAAUCCCUGUCUUCAGAGCUGACCUAGAAGCCAGCCACUCCACUCAGAC
rnacentral:lncRNA from 1 species